rnacentral:rRNA from 1 species
UACGUAGGGGGCAAGCGUUGUCCGGAUUUAUUGGGCGUAAAGAGCGUGUAGGCGGUUUGGUAGGUCCGUUGUGAAAACUCGAGGCUCAACCUCGAGACGCCGGCGGAAACCAUCAGGCUAGAGUCCGGAAGAGGAGAGUGGAAUUCCGUGGUGUAGCGGUGAAAUGCGCAGAUAUCAGGAAGAACACCCGCUGGCGUAAGGCGGCUCUCUAGUACGGUACUGACGCUGAGACGCGAAAGCGUGGGAGCGAACAGG